rnacentral:rRNA from 1 species
UACGGAGGGUGCGAGCGUUGUCCGGAAUCAUUGGGCGUAAAGGGCGCGUAGGUGGCCUGCUAAGCGUGCGGUGAAAGUCGGGGGCUCAACCCCCGAUCGGCCGUGCGAACUGGGAGGCUUGAGCACUGUAGAGGCAGGCGGAAUUCCGGGUGUAGCGGUGGAAUGCGUAGAGAUCCGGAAGAACACCAAUAGCGAAGGCAGCUCGCUGGGACGUUACUGACACUGAGGCGCGAAAGCGUGGGGAGCGAACAGG